UUGUUUCUGCUUCAACAGUGUUUGAACUGAGCUG
rfam:Mus musculus chromosome 5, GRC primary reference assembly.